AUCAGAAUUCUCUGACUUACAAUAUAUUCUCUGUUUAUAAGGGCCAGAAUGGCUUUCCAGUUAUGGCUGGGCUUGCAACAGCAAGAGGGAUUCAGUGCCACUGCCUAAAAUUCACCCAUCUUUAUUUCCUCUUUUCAAGCCAGCUCCAGACAGGAAAACUGAAGUAUUAGCUGAAAUCUCAUAUGAGCUGUGUUGUGCCAUUUCUCUGAGAAGACAGAAGCUUUCAAGGAUCCUGAUUGUGAAAACCCCAGAUGUAUGAAUGAGGACAGUCACCUUGAGAAGUAUCCCUGAGGUCUGGCAAGGAGAAGCUGCACAAUCUGUGCUGUACCACAGCGGCUGAAGGUUUUGGCUGCCAUCCUCUGCAGGGAAACGAAGGCACAGAGAUGCUAAAGGACACAUCCCAGCUUUAUAAUUUCCUACGUGCUGGAAGUAGGACAGGUAAGGACUCCUUCUAAAAUGGGUUCACUUUUAGCACUGAUCUGUUUGAAUCCUCCACAGUUUUCAUCCUCAACCUCUCAUAAAUCCUUUAUGUAGGACCUUGCCUUAGGAGACAAAGACAUUAUAUCUGAAAGCAACUGAAUCCAGGCUGGUGACUGGCAACCCUUUUGAAGCAGUAAAACCUUUCAGUUCACUAUCAG
rnacentral:lncRNA from 1 species